AUGCACAACAACGUAACCCUCCGUCAAAACACCGAUUCCGCAAGCUUCCGCUGUUUCGCAUCAAAUUCUUCCGCCAGUACAUCCAUCCAUCUCAGUUCAACAACAACAAAGAGCAGCUUCACCUCUGAGCUCGUUCAUCAGCUUUCAUUCGGUAAACAUUUGUAUCAACCCUUAACUCAUUUGUUUUGA